AACGAACGCUGGCGGCAUGCCUAACACAUGCAAGUCGAACGAGAUCUUCGGGUCUAGUGGCGCACGGGUGCGUAACGCGUGGGAAUCUGCCCUUUGGUUCGGAAUAACAGUUGGAAACGACUGCUAAUACCGGAUGAUGACGAAAGUCCAAAGAUUUAUCGCCAGAGGAUGAGCCCGAGUAGGAUUAGCUAGUUGGUGUGGUAAAGGCGCACCAAGGCGACGAUCCUUAGCUGGUCUGAGGGGAUGAUCAGCCACACUGGGACUGAGACACGGCCCAGACUCCUACGGGAGGCAGCAGUGGGGAAUAUUGGACAAUGGGCGAAAGCCUGAUCCAGCAAUGCCGCGUGAGUGAUGAAGGCCUUAGGGUUGUAAAGCUCUUUUACCCGGGAUGAUAAUGACAGUACCGGGAGAAUAAGCUCCGGCUAACUCCGUGCCAGCAGCCGCUGUAA
rnacentral:rRNA from 1 species